ACGAACGCUGGCGGCGUGCUUAACACAUGCAAGUCGAACGGAAAGGCCCUGCUUGCAGGGUACUCGAGUGGCGAACGGGUGAGUAACACGUGGGUGAUCUGCCCUGCACUUCGGGAUAAGCCUGGGAAACUGGGUCUAAUACCGGAUAGGAGCCAUUUUUAGUGUGAUGGUUGGAAAGUUUUUUUCGGUGUAGGAUGAGCUCGCGGCCUAUCAGCUUGUUGGUGGGGUAAUGGCCUACCAAGGCGGCGACGGGUAGCCGGCCUGAGAGGGUGGACGGCCACAUUGGGACUGAGAUACGGCCCAGACUCCUACGGGAGGCAGCAGUGGGGAAUAUUGCACAAGGGGCGCAAGCCUGAUGCAGCGACGCCGCGUGGGGGAUGACGGCCUUCGGGUUGUAAACUCCUUUCGCUAGGGACGAAGCUUUUUGUGACGGUACCUAGAUAAGAAGCACCGGCUAACUACGUG
rnacentral:rRNA from 1 species